rnacentral:tRNA from 1 species
GGCGGGAUGCCGGAGCGGCUGAACGGGGCGGUCUUGAAAACCGCUGGACGUGGCGACACGUCCCGUGGGUUCGAAUCCCACUCCCGCCG